rnacentral:rRNA from 1 species
CACGGGGUUGCGAGCGUUGUCCGGAAUUACUAGGCGUAAAGGGCAGGCAGGCGGAUCCAUAAGUUUAUCGUUUAAGGCGUCGGCUUAACCGGAGUAGGGCGGUAGAUACUGUGGAUCUGGAAUGCGGUUGGGGAAGACAGAAUUCCUGGUGUAGCGGUGGAAUGCGCAGAGAUCAGGAGGAAUACCGAAGGCGAAGGCAGUCUUCCAAGCCGUUAUUGACGCUCAACUGCGAAGGUGUGGGUAUCAAACAGGAUUAGAUACUCGCGUAGUCCCU